CAGCAGCCACGGUAAUACAGAGGAUGCAAGCGUUAUCCGGAAUGAUUGGGCGUAAAGCGCACGUAGGCGGCUAUUCAAGUCAGGGGUGAAAGCCCGGGGCUCAACCCCGGAACUGCCUUUGAAACUAGAUAGCUUGAAUCUUGGAGAGGCGAGUGGAAUUCCGAGUGUAGAGGUGAAAUUCGUAGAUAUUCGGAAGAACACCAGUGGCGAAGGCGACUCGCUGGACAAGUAUUGACGCUGAGGUGCGAAAGCGUGGGGAGCAAACAGGAUUAGAUACCCCCGUAGUCCCUGUCCUUAUACA
rnacentral:rRNA from 1 species